rnacentral:lncRNA from 1 species
CUCUCUCUUUCCAGAAAACGAGUGUGCGAGAAGUAUGUUGUAAUUGAAGUAGCAUACUGCCUGACACCCAAGAGGUUGCUCUGUAAGUGAAUUGCCUUUCACCUCCUGCCAUGAUUCUGAGGCCCCCAGCCAUGUGGAACUGGAGAAGGGAGAUGAAAUAAUACCAGCAUCCUGAACCUGAAUGUCCAGCUUCGCCUUGUUCUUUGUGGAUUAUAAGACCAUUGAUUAAAUAAAUCCUUUCAUCAAAAUUAUCUUAAAAAAGAAACUACCAUCUAAAUCCAGUUAUUCCAUCUGACUUGGUAGCAGUGAUGUUUGGAGUUUAGGACCUAAAGGUGAAAUGGGGAAAAUCUGGGUGCUCGGAAAGACACCAGAAGCACACAGAAGAAGAUCAUAUGAAGACACAACAAGAAGGUGACUAGCUGCAAGCCAAGAAGAGAAGCCUCAGAAGAAAUCAAACGUACUAGCACCUUGAUCUUGGAAUUCCAGUCUCCAAAGCUGCGAGAAAAUAAAAUUCUGUUGCUUAAGCUGCCAAGACUAUGGUAUUUUCUUAUGGCAAUCUUAGCAAAAUAACCCUAUUAGCAAACAAAUGCA